AGAACUGGAGGAGGUGAUCAAGGACA
rnacentral:piRNA from 1 species